GCUGGCGCUGGGGGACGCCUGGCGGCGCGCUUGGGCGGCGCGGCGGCGAUGGCGGGCUUUGCGACAGGCGGGGUUCGACGCCGCCGCGGCGGUGC
rnacentral:tRNA from 1 species